CAUCUGAUCUGGUCAAAGUUACAAGUGCAACAUGCUUAGAGGAUGCCAGGCUUCUUCCUGUCGAGCUGAGAUGG
rnacentral:lncRNA from 1 species